rnacentral:misc_RNA from 1 species
CGUGCGCGAUAUUGUUAUAAAGCGAAGGCUCUAAGUAGCCCAAAUCGAAUUAAGCCGACUUGUUGGGUGGCGCUGUUUGUUUAGUGUAGUAUACAUUUGGGCGCGGCAGCAGCGAAAAUCCCAGUCGCCGGAGUCUCUCAAUAAGGAUAUAA